rnacentral:rRNA from 1 species
CUACAUGAAGCUGGAAUCGCUAGUAAUCGCAGAUCAGAAUGCUGCGGUGAAUACGUUCCCGGGUCUUGUACACACCGCCCGUCACACCAUGGGAGCCGGGAAUGCCCGAAGUCGGUGACCCAACCGUAAGGGGAGGGAGCCGCCGAAGGCAGGCCUGGUAACUGGGGUGAAGUCGUAACAAGGUAAC